rnacentral:rRNA from 1 species
GAUGAACGCUGGCGGCGUGCCUAAUACAUGCAAGUCGAGCGAACGGACGAGAAGCUUGCUUCUCUGAUGUUAGCGGCGGACGGGUGAGUAACACGUGGAUAACCUACCUAUAAGACUGGGAUAACUUCGGGAAACCGGAGCUAAUACCGGAUAAUAUUUUGAACCGCAUGGUUCAAAAGUGAAAGACGGUCUUGCUGUCACUUAUAGAUGGAUCCGCGCUGCAUUAGCUAGUUGGUAAGGUAACGGCUUACCAAGGCAACGAUGCAUAGCCGACCUGAGAGGGUGAUCGGCAACACUGGAACUGAGACACGGUCCAGACUCCUACGGGAGGCAGCAGUAGGGAAUCUUCCGCAAUGGGCGAAAGCCUGACGGAGCAACGCCGCGUGAGUGAUGAAGGUCUUCGGAUCGUAAAACUCUGUUAUUAGGGAAGAACAUAUGUGUAAGUAACUGUGCACAUCUUGACGGUACCUAAUCAGAAAGCCACGGCUAACUACGU